rnacentral:tRNA from 1 species
GCUUUAAAGGUGUUAUUACAUAUUAUAAUUUCAUUAUAAAGUAGAUUUUAGUCUUAAAGUA